rnacentral:rRNA from 1 species
ACGAGCGCACCCUUAUCCCUAGUUGCCAGCACAUCAUGGUGGGAACUCUAGGGAGACUGCCGGUGACAAACCGGAGGAAGGUGGGGAUGACGUCAGGUCAUCAUGGCCCUUACGGCCAGGGCUACACACGUGCUACAAUGGCGCGCACAGAGGGCUGCAAACCCGCGAGGGGGAGCUAAUCUCACAAAACGCGUCGUAGUCCGGAUCGCAGUCUGCAACUCGACUGCGUGAAGUCGGAAUCGCUAGUAAUCGCGAAUCAGAAUGUCGCGGUGAAUACGUUCCCGGGCCUCGUACACACCGCCCGUCACACCAUGGGAGUGGAUUGCACCAGAAGUGGUUAGUCUAACCUUCGGGAGGACGAUCACCACGGUGUGGUUCAUGACUGGGGUGAAGUCGUAACAAGGUAGCCGUAGGGGAACCUGCGGCUGGAUCACCUCCUU